GGACAAUCGACAGACAAUAGGUAUCUACGCAACUAUAGCUGAAAAUGAUGUUAGGAAGAAUGAGAGCAACACAGAUGUCGAUUUUUAUAUUCAAAAACGAACGAGGAGAUCAAAAAUCUUGUGCAAAAUAAUGACCUAAAAGCACCAAUAACAAAACUUACAACGAGCAUUGUCAACGAAUUUGGCGCUAAAGGAGACAACCCAAAACAUGAGAAAAAUGGCUGUGAAAAAAGUAUUGACACUGGCAGUGUUAAAAUCAAUUUAACAGUUUUUUUUUCAAGAAACCGUCUUAAUAUAAUGUAUUGGAAAGUGACCUUAAUAAAAAAAAAAUGUUGUUUUUGGUGUAUACGUAAUUGUCAUUUGUUCUUUCGUUGUUAAAUUUGUUUUCAAAAUGAAGAAACAAAUUGUGUGAAUUGAUGGAUUUUUUUCAGUCCUUUAACUAUCAUUUACCUGUAAGAAUCAAUUAUGCUACCUCCAGCUGUCCAAUAUGUUUAAGGAAGAGGAGGGUUAUUCUUAAAAAUAUUGGACAGUUAAAGGUAACAUAAUGGUUUCUUGAUAUAAAUGAUAGUCCAAUCACUGAAAUAAAGAACGGGUACAACAAUAGAAUGACGUCACAACAAUGUUUUAAGUUGACAAAAUCAACGUCAGUAAUCAUACUGUUUCAAAAUUGUUUAGUAACAACAAAUAUACAUUUGCCUAUAAUACAAUAUAUAUCAUACAAACAUAAGAUAUUAUAAUGUUCAAUCCUCAACAAUGCUAACAUUUAAUAUAAUUAAAUUGAAUUAACCAA